UACGUAGGGUGCAAGCGUUAAUCGGAAUUACUGGGCGUAAAGCGCACGCAGGCGGUUCGCCAAGUUUGGAGUGACAGUUGUCGGCUCAACCGACAAAGGACUUCAAAAACUGGUGAACUUGAGGACGAGAGAGGAACAUGGAACUCCAGGUGUAGUAGUGAAAUGCGUAGAUAUCUGGAAGAACACCAAUGGCGAAGGCAAUGUUCUGGCUCGUUUCUGACGCUCAGGUGCGAAAGCCAGGGGAGCGAACGGG
rnacentral:rRNA from 1 species